AGCUAUGGCCAUGCCACCCUGAACAAGCCGGAUCCCGUCUGAUCUCGGAAGCUAGGCAGGGUUGGGCCUGGUUAGUCCUUGAAUGGGAGACCACCUAGAAAGACCCAGUGCUGUAGGCG
rnacentral:rRNA from 1 species